UGGGGAAUAUUGCACAAUGGGCGCAAGCCUGAUGCAGCCAUGCCGCGUGUAUGAAGAAGGCCUUCGGGUUGUAAAGUACUUUCAGCGGGGAGGAAGGGAGUAAAGUUAAUACCUUUGCUCAUUGACGUUACCCGCAGAAGAAGCACCGGCUAACUCCGUGCCAGCAGCCGCGGUAAUACGGAGGGUGCAAGCGUUAAUCGGAAUUACUGGGCGUAAAGCGCACGCAGGCGGUUUGUUAAGUCAGAUGUGAAAUCCCCGGGCUCAACCUGGGAACUGCAUCUGAUACUGGUCAGCUGGAGUCUUGUAGAGGGGGGUAGAAUUCCAUGUGUAGCGGUGAAAUGCGUAGAGAUGUGGAGGAAUACCGGUGGCGAAGGCGGCCCCCUGGACGAAGACUGACGCUCAGGUGCGAAAGCGUGGGGAGCAAACAGG
rnacentral:rRNA from 1 species